rnacentral:rRNA from 1 species
AGCAGCAGCCACGGGAAUACGAAGGGUGCAAGCGUUAAUCGGAAUUACUGGGCGUAAAGCGCACGUAGGCGGCUUGGUAAGUUAGAGGUGAAAGCCUGGAGCUCAACUCCAGAAUUGCCUUUAAGACUGCCGAGCUAGCAGGUGAGAGAGGUAAGUGGAAUUCCGAGUGUAGAGGUGAAAUUCGUAGAUAUUCGGAAGAACACCAGUGGCGAAGGCGGCUUACUGGCUCAUACUGGACGCUGAGGUGCGAAAGCGUGGGGAGCAAACAGGAUUAGAUACCCCUGUAGUCCCUGUCUCUUAUAC